CCCGCGCGUGGGAGCCAGGACAGCGUGUGGAGCGAUGGGGCACGCGAAGUCCCCGCCUGGGCCUGUGCUCAGGCCCCGCGCCUCAGCAGGAGGCGAUCCGGGAGCUCCGUGGCUGCCAGGCCCGGGCGCCGGGGCCCCUCGGGGGUGACGUCACGGGAGGGAGCACGGGACACGCGAGCCGGGUGCCCCCCAGACCGCGUCGCGACCGGCCAGGCUCGCGGCCUACCCACGGCCUCUUUCAAGCCCAGAAGUUAUCUGGGGCCCAGGAGCAAGGAACAGUGGAGCCAGUCAUGGCCAUUCUGGUGUCAGCAGCCUCAGCCCAGAAGUCUAGAAAAAGCCUUCGUAGCAAAAAACCUUGGCGAGAAGGAGAGGGUAUCAAGGCUAAUCCAGGCCCCAGAAGCCAGCUAUCCAGUGGGCAAAAUGUGACCUUCCCCGACCAGGUGUCCUCGGCUUUUGUAAACAGAGAGUUCUCACCUGCUCCAGAGCCAUCUCCACUUCCACUGGACCAUGGAGUCUUCACUGCUGCAGCUCUUGUAGACCCCUAGCAAAGAAGGUUGGCUUUAAGACUCCUGCCAGUGACCUGCGGUAUGAAGAAAUACAUUAGGUCGUAGUGCUGUUCACACCCACAUCAUAUAACAGAAAUGAAAGUUUAGUAGUGAAUAAGCCCUCUGCUAUGAAUGCUGGUCUUUGAUGCCUUCUGUUCUAGUAUAUUUGACUAAAAGAAUUACUGGUUACAACCCAGUAAGUCAGUGAUUUCACAAUCUACUGAUAGGUCAUACCCAGUUUGAAAAGGCAGCCCUAGGAAAUGGAUCUGUCGUUUAUUCAUUCAACAAACAGUAAUUUAGACCCUAACAGUUGCUCUCCUUUUUGUUGUUGUUGCUCAAGUAAUGAGUACCUUCUCGUUGUGAAAAAUGCAAAUACCUCGGAAGUAUAAAAACUAAAAGACCACUUAGUGCAGGUGAGCCCAGUUAGGACUUUCAAUGUAUCCUUUGAGUUUUUGUUACUUAAUUUAUACUGUGUAUCCUAUGUGGAGAUAUAUAGUUUCCUUUUUCUCCAAGUGAGAACACUCUGAGACUCUUACUCUGCACCUUGCUUUUUCCUAACCUGGUGGGGUUGUGGGGUGAGGUGCUUCAGGACAAGGCUCUGGGUUGACUGCUGGACCUAGCACAUAGUAGAGGAGUAAUUUACUUCUCUGGGUCUCAGUGUCCCCAUCAGUACAAUGGGAAGAAUCACUUUGCAAUAAUGAAGAUUGAAUUAGUUAAUCCACAUGAGGGUUAGAACAGUCACUGUCCCAGUAGAUGCUGGUUGUUACUGUCUUUAUUACUAUCCUGUGUCAAUGUUGACCCACAUUUGUACCACUUUGUUUGUAUUGGCUGCCUGUGCAAUGGUGUGAAUGUGUGUUUUUGUGGUUCCCCAAGAAGGAGGACAUGCACAUGGAGCAAGAGGUAUUUCAGAUCAAGGUCUUUGUGGGACAGGAACCUGGAUACUGAGCCUCAGGAGACAAGGACUGUCUAAGGACCCACUGUUUUCAAACUCUUAUGUCAGGGUCCAAGCAUGACACAUCCCUGCAUCUGUUAUUUCAAAGAUCACACACCAGGCAUGGUGGUGCGUGCCUAUAACCCCAGCACUUGGGAAGCUGAAGCAGGAGUGUCACCCGGAAUUCAAAGCCAGCCUAGGCUACACAGUGAGCUCAAGGCCAGCCUGGACUAUACAGGGAGACCCUGUUCAAAAAAAAAAAAAAAUCACAUCCCAGGGAUUGGUGGCCAAGGCCUUGACCAGAGCCUGGGGUAGGGGGCUCUGUGCAGGUAGGAGGCUUCAUGGAAGAGGGGCCCCUGAGCAAGUGCCCCAGGCACAGGUAAGAAUGAGAAGGACACUCCUGGCAGCAGGAACACAAUGAGCAAGUCUUUGGAGACUGGAAGAGAUGUAGCCUGUGAGUUGUGGCCAAGAGGGAAGGACUUGGCUCAGAGAGAACGGUAACAGGAGAAGCUGGGCUGUAGCCAGAGCCUCUGCACCAGUCGCCCUGCAACCCCGCUCAGGGGGCUGUUGGAGUAAUCUUUCUGAACCACAGCAGAUAGGCUCCAGGGACUCCCACUGCCUUCUAGAGACCCAGUCCAUGGUCCUUCCACACUGCCCAGGGCCUAUCCUGGCAUCCUGUGCCGUUCUGCCCCACCCUCCUCCUAGGGCAGCCCUGUGCAUGCUUGCCCCUGUUCGUUUGCCUGGCUUGUCCCUUCCACCUGGGAUGCCCUUGUCUUCCUCCCAAGACCCAAUCAGAUGUCCCAUUUCCUCCCCUGACCUCCAAGGCAGAAUGAGUCAUCUCCCUUUGUCUAUACCUUUGGCCCAGCGUUUAUCACGGAAUUAUCGGCACUUCUGUCAGUGUGUCCUCCCCACGAGGCUGGAGCAUCUCAGCCCGAAGUGCAGCUCCUUUCUCUGGGCUCUGUUUCAAGGGCGAGGCCCAAACACUGCACGCUCAGCAAAGCUUCCUGG
rnacentral:lncRNA from 1 species